rnacentral:rRNA from 1 species
UACGAGAGGCCCAAACGUUAUUCGGAUUUACUGGGCUUAAAGAGUUCGUAGGCGGCCACCGCAAGUCGGUUGUGAAAUCUCUGGGCUUAACCCAGAAAGGUCAACCGAUACUGCGGGGCUAGAGUGCAGAAGGGGCAACUGGAAUUCUCGGUGUAGCGGUGAAAUGCGUAGAUAUCGAGAGGAACACCUGCGGCGAAGGCGGGUUGCUGGGCUGACACUGACGCUGAUGCGCGAAAGCUAGGGGAGCGAACGGG